GGGAGUGGGAACAUUAUUUUAAGAUGAAAUGAGAGCAAAGACAGUGUCCAAAUUAGCACCCUAUUCCCUACAUAGGGCUCUGGUCCAAAGUAGUGCACUAUCGGGUGACAUUUGGGAUGCAGAAUAUUGUAAGCUACCAUGUCCUGGUUCGCGGUGAUGUUCCCAUGGAGAGACAGGCAUUCUGAGAGUGUCUUCUUCCUGGUUGGGGUUAGGUCUGGUCCUAUCAGGUAGAGACAGAACUAGGGUCUCUUCCUGAUUGUGGUUAGGUCUGGUCCUAUCAGGUAGAGACAGAGCUAGGGUCUCUUCCUGGUUGUGGUUAGGUCUGGUCCUAUCAGGUAGAGACAGAGCUAGGGUCUCUUCCUGGUCGGGGUUAGGUCUGGUCCUAUCAGGUAGAGACAGAGCUAGGGUCUCUUCCUGGUCGGGGUUAGGUCUGGUCCUAUCAGGUAGAGACAGAUCUAGGGUC